UACGUAGGGGCCGAGCGUUGUCCGGAGUUAUUGGGCGUAAAGCGCGCGCAGGCGGCUUGUUGCGUCCGACGUGAAAGCCCCCGGCUUAACCGGGGAGGGUCGUCGGGUACGGACAGGCUUGAGGGCGGGAGAGGGUGGUGGAAUUCCCGGUGUAGUGGUGAAAUGCGUAGAGAUCGGGAGGAACACCUGUGGCGAAGGCGGCCACCUGGGCCGACCCUGACGCUGAGGCGCGAAGGCGUGGGGAGCGAACGGG
rnacentral:rRNA from 1 species